AAAUUGAAGAGUUUGAUCAUGGCUCAGAUUGAACGCUGGCGGCAGGCCUAACACAUGCAAGUCGAACGGUAACAGGAAGCAGCUUGCUGCUUCGCUGACGAGUGGCGGACGGGUGAGUAAUGUCUGGGAAACUGCCUGAUGGAGGGGGAUAACUACUGGAAACGGUGGCUAAUACCGCAUAACGUCGCAAGACCAAAGAGGGGGACCUUCGGGCCUCUUGCCAUCAGAUGUGCCCAGAUGGGAUUAGCUUGUUGGUGAGGUAACGGCUCACCAAGGCGACGAUCCCUAGCUGGUCUGAGAGGAUGACCAGCCACACUGGAACUGAGACACGGUCCAGACUCCUACGGGAGGCAGCAGUGGGGAAUAUUGCACAAUGGGCGCAA
rnacentral:rRNA from 3 species